rnacentral:rRNA from 1 species
UAGGGAANCUUCGGCAAUGGGGGCAACCCUGACCGAGCAACGCCGCGUGAGUGAAGAAGGUUUUCGGAUCGUAAAGCUCUGUUGUAAGAGAAGAACGGGUGUGAGAGUGGAAAGUUCACACUGUGACGGUAACUUACCAGAAAGGGACGGCUAACUACGUGCCAGCAGCCGCGGUAAUACGUAGGUCCCGAGCGUUAUCCGGAUUUAUUGGGCGUAAAGCGAGCGCAGGCGGUUAGAUAAGUCUGAAGUUAAAGGCUGUGGCUUAACCAUAGUACGCUUUGGAAACUGUUUAACUUGAGUGCAGAAGGGGAGAGUGGAAUUCCAUGUGUAGCGGUGAAAUGCGUAGAUAUAUGGAGGAACACCGGUGGCGAAAGCGGCUCUCUGGUCUGUAACUGACGCUGAGGCUCGAAAGCGUGGGGAGCAAACAGGAUUAGAUACCCUGGUAGUCCACGCCGUAAACGAUGAGUGCUAGGUGUUGGGUCCUUUCCGGGACUCAGUGCCGCAGCUAACGCAUUAAGCACUCCGCCUGGGGAGUACGACCGCAAGGUUG